UUUCGCUAUGGGCGGGGCUACCCAGCGCGACGCGACAGAAAUAAAAACGAAGCGACCAACCGAAUGUAGUUUGACGCGGCCGGUUAAACAGAGUUUGUGCUGUGAGUGGAUGAACAGUGGGACGAUUAAAUUCUGAGUCCGGAGUUCUUGCAUGAGCAGAUAACCUCUACAUUAAUAAAAACCUGUGUAUGUGCGAAGAAAGUGUCACUGACUCAAAAGCACAAGGCAGAUGGAGGGGUCUGAGAUCGCCUAAUCCCAGUGUGUUGAUGAGAGCAGCCGACGAAGAUGAAGGCAAGCCGGACAGCUCUUCUUCCUCGCUUGUUCUCCUAACAGGUUUAU
rnacentral:lncRNA from 1 species